UACGGGGGGGGCAAGCGUUGUUCGGAAUUACUGGGCGUAAAGGGCGCGUAGGCGGCCUUCUAAGUCGGACGUGAAAUCCCUCGGCUUAACCGAGGAACUGCGUCCGAUACUGAAAGGCUUGAAUCCGGGAGAGGGAUGUGGAAUUCCAGGUGUAGCGGUGAAAUGCGUAGAUAUCUGGAGGAAUACCGGUGGCGAAGGCGGCAUCCUGGACCGGCAUUGACACUGAUGAGCGAAAGCCAGGGGAGCAAACGGG
rnacentral:rRNA from 1 species